GAUGAACGCUGGCGGCGUGCCUAAUACAUGCAAGUAGAACGCUGAAGCUUGGUGCUUGCACCGAGCGGAUGAGUUGCGAACGGGUGAGUAACGCGUAGGUAACCUGCCUCUUAGCGGGGGAUAACUAUUGGAAACGAUAGCUAAUACCGCAUAAAAGUCGACAUUGCAUGAUGUUGACUUGAAAGGUGCAAUUGCAUCACUAAGAGAUGGACCUGCGUUGUAUUAGCUAGUUGGUGAGGUAACGGCUCACCAAGGCGACGAUACAUAGCCGACCUGAGAGGGUGAUCGGCACACUGGGACUGAGACACGGCCCAGACUCCUACGGGAGGCAGCAGUAGGGAAUCUUCGGCAAUGGGGGCAACCCUGACCGAGCAACGCCGCGUGAGUGAAGAAGGUUUUCGGAUCGUAAAGCUCUGUUGUAAGAGAAGAACGAGUGUGAGAGUGGAAAGUUCACACUGUGACGG
rnacentral:rRNA from 1 species